AAGUGGCUGUUUAAGUCAGAGGAGGCUGGUAGGGUAGAAAGUGGAAGAAUUUCACCCCACGAUUUAUCCUUCAACCAGGAUUGGGACCUUAAACUCUAUUUCAGUGGCUGAGGUGGCAUAUGUUAUGGCUGCUGAACUCUCUGCACAGAGAUGAAUUUCACCCUCAAUACAGCUCUUAGAAAACGGCAAAUUGGAAACUCUUGGUGAUAAUUUCUGGAAAAUAUAAGUUGAAAGGAAGGCCCAGAGGAUUUGGAUUUGACUUUUGCAAAGGAAACUCAGUGAAGACUCACACUGCCUCUAUGAAACCUACAGGGGCAUAUUGGGGGCAUGCCUCAUCUGGACUGGGGUAGACAUCUCUGAAAAGCACUGAAACAAUACACUAUUCUUUCCAGUGGAACAAAACCUAUCUACCCUUCAACUUUUGGUGUCACAGCAUGUGAAAGGCUGCAACUUUUUCCUCGGUAUCUGGAUCUACUCGUAAGGAAGAUGAACAAAAGAGUGCCCUCUUUUUUAACAUUGCUGGUACUGAAGCAAUUUCAUUAUAUAAUUCAUUUGAGUUUAAUGUCAGAAUACAAGCUGACUAUGACUUGGUCUUUAAAAAAAUUGAGGAAUACUGUUUACCAAAAAGAAAUAAGAUGUUUGAAAGAUUUCAGUUUCACUCAAGUAAUCAAAUGGAGGAAGAGACUUUUCAAUAAUUUUUAACUGAUCUAAAGAUAAGAAAUCAGGAUGUAAUUUCUAGAAUCUCUCUGAGUCAACAAUAAGAGAUCAAAUUGUGAUGGGUAUAACAGAUUAUCAGUGUAAGAAAAAAACAAAGAUCUAAAUCUGGAAAAUUAGUGAGAAUUUACCAAACUGCUGAAUUUACUCAACAACAACAGCACAUUUUAGAAAGAAAACAAACUGACGUGAAUAUGCACUUAAUAAGAAAAAGUAAAAAAACAAGAGUAUGGAGGAAAACAGAAUGAAAGUAUUCAAGUUAAAACAUAUGAGGUAAGUAAAGAAUGUUCUAGAUGUGGAAGGAGGCACCUACCUAGACAAUGUCCAGCAUGUUUGACCCUGGCAUAUCUGCAAAAAGUCAGAGUAAUUUCACAAAUAUUUGUAAACAGAAGUCUGGAAAAACUCAGAAAUAUAAAUUUAGUUCAAAAUUCAAAAGUUUCAGAGAAGAUACUGAGUAAGGAAUACAGAGCUGACAUUGCAGAUGGAGAAAAUUUGCUUCUGGGUAUUUUAAAAUGGAGUCAUUCUGUGAAUUACAAGGGGGAUUGGACAGUUACUUGUGGAACAUUUAUUUUGUAAGUAAUGGACAUGGAUGCUAAUGUAAUUUCAGAAGAAAAUAUAAGAUAGCUAAAAGUAAAACCUGUAGCCAGAGAACAAAUACAUAUUAACUUACAAUCUUGUAGUGGUGAAAAAAUUCCUGUUAUGGGUAUUUAUAUACAAUAUUACAGGUCAGAGUUAAAGAUAAUUUAUAAAUCAUAAGAUUUGUAAUAGUUAAGGGGCAAGGUAUUUCUAUACUAGGUUUUGAAAUAUGUUUAGCACUACAUCUAAUUUGGAAUCCUGAAUAGUCUGAAUUCUACCAAACACUGGAAAUAGACCAUCAAUUUACAGUUAUCCAUUGGCAUUGGUAAAUUGGAUACAAUGUAUAAAAUAGAGUUAAAUGAAACAAAGAAACCAGUUAUACACGCAACUAGAAAAAUACCCUUGUUUUAAGAAGUAGGGUACAAAAGCAGUUGGAAAGAUUAGAAAGGGAGAUAUUUCAUUGACUUGUGACUGACAAUGACAAUUGAUUCCCGGGGUAGGGAGUGUCUAGUGACAUACAAAGGGGGUCACAACAAUGUUGUUGUGCUGAAAAAUCUCACUGAUCAUUAGCAAUUCCUUCUGUACAGGAGGUUCUCAUAUAUUCUAACACAGGAGUGGUGUAAAAUUUGGGCAAACAUUAACAGGAUGCUGAACUAAGAUGCCUCCCACCCUCCACCAGGGGCAGCCCUUCAGAAAACCUGUUAUACCGAGAGACUUUGCAAGCACUAUGGACUCUAUAACAACACAGGUCAUGCAGUGGACUUAAUAUCUAUGCUGCCUUUGAGAAUGCUUCAAUGCUAGUGUGAGAAAAAGCAUUCAGCAAAAUAUAGAUGAUUGUGCCACCUGCAUCCCUGCAUUUGUGAACACUGCUAUGCUUAUACUA